CUUAAGCCUCACAAGGUGCUCAAGCUUGUGUCAACUCGCUGGCUAGGCCUUGGUAUCUGCUUGGAUCGCUUCAUCGACAAAUGGCAGGCGAUCAAACUUUUCUUGGAGAGUGAAGUCAACAAAAAAGACAAGUCAAAGGUGGUGAUGCCCAAGUCAACCUCUGAAAAGCCAACUGCUGCCAAGAGUCCCCACCCCCAGGCCGCCCGUGACAGUGACAGGAGAAAAAACUACAAAAGGACAGUUCGACCUGUCAAAGUACCUGUUCAAUCAAGAGGAACAGUGGAGAAAGAGAAAACUACAGGAAGAGGAGAAAAGUAAAGAGGACGCCAGCAGGAAGAAGAGAAAACUGGAGGAGGACUUCAUAAAGUUACUGCCAGCUAAGCUGAGAUCUCUCCACACUUUCUUCAAUGAUGAAGUGUACUGUCUUUUCCUGCAAGCUGUUAUUCCCACUUUUGAAUCUCCCAACCAGUUCCUCCAGGAUGAAAAGCCCUUGAUACAUGAACUCCACCAUGCACUGCUUGACCAGCUUAAAAAACUGAUGGUUAGGUUUGUGAAACCUUCUGUGAUUGUAGCUGCUGACAGCCUGAUGGAUGUAGAUUACACAAGUAAGGAAAAUCAGCUGUCUGACAGCAAUCUGGUUGUAGGCAGCAAGACCAGGAAUUACAUCAAAGAGCAUCCCUCUCUCUCUGGCCUUGAUGACUUUUACCUUCGGUUGAGAUCAUUCUUUGAGACCUCUGUGGCCUACAUGAUAAAGAACUUCAGACUGAAAGACAGUGUGCUUGUCAAUGCCACAGUUGUUACCAAGAGCGAGUCAGUGGAGUUUUCACAGUUACAAUUCUUCUUGGACCRCUAUCCAGUUCUGCUCCAGGUUGCUGGAGGUGACCUAGAUGUGGUCCAGGAACAAUUCCUACUGUACCAGGUUGAACAAGAUGUUAUCAGUAAGGACAGAGCAGAUGACACUUGGCACACCAUCAGUACCCUAAAGGAUGGCAACGGUUUGCUGAAGUUUUUAGCUCUGUCCUGUGUCAUGAUGGGCAUUUUGACUAUGUUUCAUUCUAAUGCGUCAUGUGAGAGGCUAUUCAGUCUGGUCACUAAAAACAAAAUAAAGUUCAGACCCACAAUGGGAGUCCAGACACUGCACAGCCUUACAAUGCAAAAGCAGAAGAUGCUUGUCAGUGGUAAGGCUUGC